rnacentral:rRNA from 1 species
GACAGAGGCCUCGAGCGUUAGGCGGAAUCACUGGGCUUAAAGCGUGUGUAGGCGGACGAGUAAGUACCUUGUGAAAUCCCACGGCUCACCCGUGGAACCGCUGGGUAUACUGCUCUUCUUGGGCCACUCAGGGGCGACUGGAACAAGCGGUGGAGCGGUGAAAUGCAUAGAUAUCGCUUGGAACGCCGAAGGUGAAAACAGGUCGCUGGGAGUGCGCCGACGCUGAGACACGAAAGCCAGGGGAGCAAACGGG